GGAUAGCCCCGCCCCAAACUCACGCCAUUGGUUAAGCCAAAGUUGCUCAUUUGAGCUGGUUAAAAUGCUCAAAAUACAAAGCAAUGUUUGACAUCCCCACAGUUUCUGCAGACUAAAUUAGGAUAUGAAAACAGAAAAUGUAUUUUUACAUUCAAUAAAUUAACAGUACUUGUCAAUACUUUUACUUUUACUGAUGUUAAGGCAAUGGGAACACCUUUUUUUUCACAGAAGUUUCUCAGAUCAGACACAGAUUUUGGAGCCCUCUACAGGACACAAACAGAACUGCAGCUAAAAACCAAACCCAAAGGUCAGAAACACCUGAAUCCAAGGCUCAUCCUGAGCAGUAAGAUGCCUGUAAACACACAACAAAUAAAGUACGUGAUGGAGACUCUAGAACUGACCCGAUUAAAGCUACUCAGAAGAAAACAAUCCGGAUCGAAUCUGAUCACACACUGUUUAUUUAGCACGCUUACAAAAAUCAGAUUCAGAGCACCUCUAGUGUAGUGUACUCAGCACAGAGAACUUCUCCAGAAGUCUCCACCGUUGUUCUGGAUUCGGUUUACAAUAGUUCUAGAACAUUUCCAAUCCCGCGAGGUUUCCCAUCCGAAGAACUAAAUCUCGUUGUUUCUCAUCUCGAGUCCGAUAAAUAGACGUUGACAAACUAACAACAUCAUUUCACUUUAAUGGGAAACACAUAAAGUUUUACAGAGGAAGUCAUAAAGGUUUUCUUGUUUCUAGAAAGAAUAUAAAUUAAUUGAUAGCCUUCUGUUUCAGAAGAAGUUGUACUCUGUCUCUUGAAAGUCUCUGAAAUGUAGAAAACGAGCCGCUUCUGUUCUGUAAGGUUCUGUAAGGUCCGUGUGGUUCUGUAAGGUCCGUGUGGUUCUGUAAGGUUCUGUAAGGUCCGUGUGGUUCUGUAAGGUUCUGUAAGGUCCGUGUGGUUCUGUAAGUUUCUGUAAGGUCCGUGUGGUUCUGUAAGUUUCUGUAAGGUCCGUGUGGUUCUAUAAGUGUCUGUAAGGUUCUGUAAGGUCUGUGUGGUUCUGUAAGGUCCGUGUGGUUCUGUAAGGUUCUGUAAGGUCCGUGUGGUUCAAUAAGGUUCUGUAAGGUCCUUGUGGUUCUGUAAGUUUCUGUAAGGUCCGUGUGGUUCUAUAAGGUUCUGUGUGGUUCUGUAAGGUCCGUGUGGUUCUGUAAGGUUCCGUAAGGUCCGUGUGGUUCUGUAAGGUUCCGUAAGG